rnacentral:lncRNA from 1 species
UUCCAGGAGAAUAAAAGUAUUCAACUAAGGAAUCCAGACAACACUGGAUAGAUGAGACAUCUGACGAAAAAGAACAGAUCAUCAAGAGAAAAUAUCCCAAGAAAAAGAGUAAAUUGUCCAAGUGGUAUUGCCCACCUCCAGUUGACUGGCCUGAAAUCCCGGCUCAGAGGCCCAGAUUAGCACCAGCACCCAUGCCACAUCUUGCCUGAGCAGUUGUCCCUUCCUUCCAAGCAACCAUCCAGUAUGGACAGGAGGUACGACAGCCUGGGGCUUUUUGCACACCCUCCGUAGUUGUGUGGCAACCCACAAGCCUCCCAAUUCAUCCAGUAAUGUGAAUGAAAAACCUCUCAUACAUAUGUGGUUCAUGUGGAGAACAGCAUCCCUACCUAUUAAUUUUGACUCCUCUUCACAGGUCUUGUCAUGAAUGUAUAAAACAUGUGUAUGUGUGCUUUAU